UAGGGAAUAUUGGACAAUGGACGCAAGUCUGAUCCAGCCAUCCCGCGUGAAGGAUUAAGGCCCUCUGGGUUGUAAACUUCUUUUCUUUGGGAAUAAAAAGCGGAAUUCUUUUCGCCUUGAAGGUACCAGAGGAAUAAGCACCGGCUAACUCCGUGCCAGCAGCCGCGGUAAUACGGAGGGUGCAAGCGUUAUCCGGAUUCACUGGGUUUAAAGGGUGCGUAGGUGGUCUGAUAAGUCAGCGGUGAAAGCCUGGAGCUCAACUCCAGAAUUGCCAUUGAUACUGUCAGACUUGAAUCAAGUUGAGGUGGAUGGAAUAUUACAUGUAGCGGUGAAAUGCUUAGAUAUGUAAUAGAACACCAAUUGCGAAGGCAGUUCACUAAGCUUGCAUUGACACUGAGGCACGAAAGCGUGGGGAUCAAACAGG
rnacentral:rRNA from 1 species